GACGAACGCUGGCGGCGUGCUUAACACAUGCAAGUCGAACGGAAAGGCCCUGCUUUUGUGGGGUGCUCGAGUGGCGAACGGGUGAGUAACACGUGAGUAACCUGCCCUUGACUUUGGGAUAACUUCAGGAAACUGGGGCUAAUACCGGAUAGGAGCUCCUGCUGCAUGGUGGGGGUUGGAAAGUUUCGGCGGUUGGGGAUGGACUCGCGGCUUAUCAGCUUGUUGGUGGGGUAGUGGCUUACCAAGGCUUUGACGGGUAGCCGGCCGGAGAGGGUGACCGGCCACAUGGGGACUGAGAUACGGCCCAGACUCCUACGGGAGGCAGCAGGGGGGAAUAUGGCACAAUGGGCGGAAGCCUGAGGCAGCAACGCCGCGUGCGGGAUGACGGCCUUCGGGUUGUAAACCGCUUUCGCCUGUGACGAAGCGUGAGUGACGGUAAUGGGUAAAGAAGCACCGGCUAACUACGUG
rnacentral:rRNA from 1 species